rnacentral:rRNA from 1 species
GACGAACGCUGGCGGCGUGCCUAAUACAUGCAAGUCGAGCGAAGUUUUUCUGGUGCUUGCACCGGAAAAACUUAGCGGCGAACGGGUGAGUAACACGUAAAGAACCUGCCUCAUAGACUGGGACAACUAUUGGAAACGAUAGCUAAUACCGGAUAAUAGCAUUAACUGCAUGGUUGAUGUUUAAAAGUUGGUUUUGCUAACACUAUGAGAUGGCUUUGCGGUGCAUUAGCUAGUUGGUGGGGUAAAGGCCUACCAAGGCGACGAUGCAUAGCCGACCUGAGAGGGUGAUCGGCCACACUGGGACUGAGACACGGCCCAGACUCCUACGGGAGGCAGCAGUAGGGAAUCUUCCGCAAUGGGCGAAAGCCUGACGGAGCAACGCCGCGUGAGUGAAGAAGGAUUUCGGUUCGUAAAGCUCUGUUGUUAGGGAAGAAUGAUUGUGUAGUAACUAUACACAGUGGAGACGGUACCUAACCAGAAAGCCACGGCUAACUACGUG